rfam:Brassica napus, WGS project CCCW01000000 data, contig: 26289
AGAAUAUGAGAAUCUGUCUCUUAACUUUUAACUAAAAAAAUUAAAAACCGGCUGUUAAAUAAAAUAUUUAAGAACUGAUUCUUAAUUUUUUAGUUAAAAGUUAAGAGACGAAUUUUUAUAUUCC